rnacentral:lncRNA from 1 species
UGUGGUGAGCCUCUCCUCCUCCCUCGACGCCGACGCCGACCCGCGGUGAGCCUGUCCUCCUCUCUCUCUCUCUCUCCCUGCGCAUCCUCAACAUGGCGGCGGCUAUGGUGGGGGCGCGGUGGUGGCGCUGCAUCGGACGAGGAAGGGAGGCGGCUCGGUGGUGUUGGUGGAAGGGGAAGGGGUGGGCGCCGUGGUGGUGGUGGAAGAGGAAGGGGCUGGUGUGGUGUGCGGUGGUGGUGGUGGAAGGGGCGGUGCCGUGGUGGCGGCGACUGGAGGUAGGGGACGACCCCGACAGGUGGGGCCCACCUGCCAGAGAGAGGAAGAGAAGGG